UGGUCCAUCUCACUUACACAGAAAACUUUCUUGUUUUAGGCUAAAAAUAAAUUGCCUCUCUGUGUUUGGCUAAUUGGUACUUCUGUUGGUUAAUUCCUCUGCAAUCCCAUUGUGUGUGGACUCUCCAUUCAUAAACUUCCGAUUUCUCUGAUGAACUCGGAACCUGCCUACUGUAUCAUGGCUAAAAAUAUAUGCUGGAAAUCCUGGUGUCGUCUUGAAGGGUUCAGGUUUUCCAGUGGAUGUACUUUAAUUACCUUUGCCUACAUACACAGGAAUCUUGAAGGCACUGCUGUGACACUGGGCCUGAGGUACCCAGGAGCAUCCCUGAGACUUGUUAAGGUGUCUACCAUUUAACUGCAUGAGAGAUUCCGGAUGGGGAGUGGGGCAGCAAGGAAUGACCUGGCAUUACUUCUCCUUCAAGAGGUCCAGACUCCCACUCAGCUCUUAGCACCCUUGGGCUAUCUGAAGAACCUGAAUGGUGCAGAAUGCUGGCUCGCUGGGCCACGAAAUCUUAUUCCAGGAGAGACCGAUGAGAGUCCAGGAUGUUAAAGAUGCAAGUGAUGGAAGCUUCAAGUUGUGCCCAUCUGUACCCUGACAUAGGCAGUUCUGUCCUUUGCUUCAUCACUCAGGCCAAAGACUCUGAUGCAAAUGUGGAGUCGGUGAGUCCAGGAAGUGCCAUUAUGUGCAGGCCAAUAACUGGCUAUGGCAGUUGGAGGCAAAUAGGCUUCGCCAGUCUCAAAGCCCUAGCUACUAUAGUGAGUCCACAGCUCCCUGGAUCUUAUCUACGUCAGCAAAAGAAGGCCACCCAGUAAGCCAGGCCUCGGGUAGAAACUGCUCAUUCAUCUACUCUCCUUAAACAGCCAAACUCAUUGCCACUUUCUUCAGCAAUAAUUACUGCAGCCCAGAGACUUUGGUAGCCUAGCGACUAUAACUAGUCACGCUACAGUCUGGUCACAGUCUGAUAAAACCCCAGAGCAACAAAAGCUAAAAUAUUGAC